UGGGGAAUAUUGCACAAUGGUGGGAACUCUGAUGCAGCGACGCCGCGUGAACGAAGAAGGCUUUCGAGUCGUAAAGUUCUUUUAUAUGGGAAGAUAAUGACGGUACCAUAAGAAAAAGCCCCGGCUAACUACGUGCCAGCAGCCGCCGUAAUACGUAGGGGGCUAGCGUUGUCCGGAAUCACUGGGCGUAAAGGGUUCGCAGGCGGAAAUGCAAGUCAGGUGUAAAAGGCAGUAGCUUAACUACUGUAAGCAUUUGAAACUGCAUAUCUUGAGAAGAGUAGAGGUAAGUGGAAUUUUUAGUGUAGCGGUGAACUGCGUAGAUAUUAAAAAGAAUACCGGUGGCGAAGGCGACUUACUGGGCUCAUUCUGACGCUGAGGAACGAAAGCGUGGGUAGCAAACAGG
rnacentral:rRNA from 1 species